rnacentral:tRNA from 1 species
GGGGAUGUAGCUCAGUGGGAGAGCAGCGCGUUUGCAACGCGAAGGUCGCGGGUUCAAAUCCCGCCAUCUCCA